AUCCUUAUGCAAGGGCAUUACGUGUAUCAGUGAGGAUUCGUCCGAGAUCAUGUUUUUGCUGGUUGAAAACUUUAACCAUGACCGCUCUCUAUCGUUAUAGCAGCAUUGUCCGCAAAACUUUAGAGGAAUUUUUGGAACUCGUUCAAACAU
rnacentral:snRNA from 1 species